rnacentral:rRNA from 1 species
GUGGUUUAAUUCGACGCAACGCGAAGAACCUUACCAGGGCUUGACAUCCCCUGACCGUCUAUGAAAGUAGGCUUUCUACUUCGGGUAGACAGGGAGACAGGUGGUGCAUGGUUGUCGUCAGCUCGUGUCGUGAGAUGUUGGGUUAAGUCCCGCAACGAGCGCAACCCUUACGGUUAGUUGCCAGCGGGUUAUGCCGGGCACUCUAGCUGAACUGCCGUUGACAAACGGAGGAAGUGGGGAUGACGUCAAAUCAUCAUGCCCUUUAUGUCCUGGGCUACACACGUGCUACAAUGGCCUGUACAGAGGGAAGCGAAAGGGUGACCUGGAGCGAAUCCCAAAAAGCAGGUCUCAGUUCGGAUUGCAGGCUGCAACCCGCCUGCAUGAAGUCGGAAUCGCUAGUAAUCGCAGGUCAGCAUACUGUGGUGAAUACCGGUUCCCGGGCCUU